rnacentral:rRNA from 1 species
GACGAACGCUGGCGGCGUGCUUAACACAUGCAAGUCGAACGGAAAGGCCAUGCUUUUGUGGGGUGCUCGAGUGGCGAACGGGUGAGUAACACGUGAGUAACAUGCCCUUGACUUUGGGAUAACUUCAGGAAAAUGGGGCUAAUACCGGAUAGGAGCUCCUGCUGCAUGGUGGGGGUUGGAAAGUUUCGGCGGUUGUGGAUGGACUCGCGGCUUAUCAGCUUGUUGGUGGGGUAGUGGCUUACCAAGGCUUUGACGGGUAGCCGGCCUGAGAGGGUGACCGGCCACAUUGGGACUGAGAUACGGCCCAGACGCCUACGGGAGGCAGCAGUGGGGAAUAUUGCACAAUGGGCGGAAGCCUGAUGCAGCAACGCCGCGUGCGUGAUGACGGCCUUCUGGUUGUAAACCGCUUUCGCCUGUGACGAAGCGUGAGUGACGGUAAUGGGUAAAGAAGCACCGGCUAACUACGUG